GAUGAAGAACGUAGCGAAAUGCGAUAAGUAAUGUGAAUUGCAGAAUUCAGUGAAUCAUCGAAUCUUUGAACGCACAUUGCGCCCGUCAGUAUUCUGGCGGGCAUGCCUGUUCGAGCGUCAUUACGCCCCUCAAGUCCCCUGUCGACUUGGUGUUGGGGAUCGGCGAGGCUGGUUUUCCAGCACAGCCGUCCCUUAAAUUAAUUGGCGGUCUCGCCGUGGCCCUCCUCUGCGCAGUAGUAAAACACUCGCAACAGGAGCCCGGCGCGGUCCACUGCCGUAAAACCCCCCAACUUUUUAUAGUUGACCUCGAAUCAGGUAGGACUACCCGCUGAACUUAAGCAUAUCAAUAAGCGGAGGA
rnacentral:misc_RNA from 1 species